rnacentral:rRNA from 1 species
AUUGAACGCUGGCGGCAUGCCUUACACAUGCAAGUCGAACGGUAACAGGUUAAGCUGACGAGUGGCGAACGGGUGAGUAAUGUAUCGGAACGUGCCCAGUCGUGGGGGAUAACUGCUCGAAAGAGCAGCUAAUACCGCAUACGACCUGAGGGUGAAAGCGGGGGAUCGCAAGACCUCGCGCGAUUGGAGCAGCCGAUAUCAGAUUAGGUAGUUGGUGAGGUAAAGGCUCACCAAGCCGACGAUCUGUAGCUGGUCUGAGAGGACGACCAGCCACACUGGGACUGAGACACGGCCCAGACUCCUACGGGAGGCAGCAGUGGGGAAUUUUGGACAAUGGGCGCAAGCCUGAUCCAGCCAUGCCGCGUGCGGGAAGAAGGCCUUCGGGUUGUAAACCGCUUUUGUCAGGGAAGAAAAGGUUCUGGCUAAUACCUGGGACUCAUGACGGUACCUGAAGAAUAAGCACCGGCUAACUACGUG